UACCUGUCCCCGCCCUAAUGUGUUGCACCUGUGUCUCAUUGUCUCUCCUGUAUUGUCUAUUUAAGUUCAGUCUUCCCCUUACCCCAGUGCAAGAUUGUCUGCUUCCCCUGUCUACAGU